rnacentral:rRNA from 1 species
CCUACGGGCGGCAGCAGUGGGGGAUAUUGCACAAUGGGGGAAACCCUGAUGCAGCGACGCCGCGUGGGUGAAGAAGCGCCUCGGCGCGUAAAGCCCUGUCAGCAGGGAAGAAAAUGACGGUAACUGAAGAAGAAGCCCCGGCUAAAUAAGUUCCAGCCGCCGCGGUAAUACGUAGGGGGCAAGCGUUAACCGGAUUUACUGGGUGUAAAGGGGGCGCAGACGGCGAUGCAAGCCAGGAGUGAAAGCCCGGGGCCCAACCCCGGGACUGCUCUUGGAACUGCGUGGCUAGAGUGCAGGAGGGGCAGGCGGAAUUCCUGGUGUAGCGGUGAAAUGCGUAGAUAUCAGGAGGAACACCGGUGGCGAAGGCGGCCUGCUGGACUGCAACUGACGUUGAGGCCCGAAAGCGUGGGGAGCAAACAGGAUUAGAUACCCGGGUAGUC